CCCCCCCAAGUAUGGUAUUUCUCCAUAUGCUCCACAGAAUUGCCUUCAUGUGAUGUGACUCCAUAACUAAAUUUCUCCAAUAUGCUUCUCUACUGAGGAACUGUCCAACCAAAAGGUGUUUUCAGCUCUAUUAGCUCCAAAUAGUUCAGAAAAUAUGUUUCUUGCUCCACCAAGUUGUGCUGCCAAUCUAUCAAACUUCCUCCAUUUCAAUUUUAAAUGCUUUACAUGAACAUUUGAUUUGGGAAACUUCAGUAAACUGGACAUGU
rnacentral:misc_RNA from 1 species